UACGACCAUAUCACGUUGAAACACAGGUUCUCGUACGAUCACCGAAGUUAAGCAAUGUCGAGUUUGUUCAGUAACUAGAUGUGUGAUAGCUUGGGAAUACCAAGU